GAUGAACGCUGGCGGCGUGCUUAACACAUGCAAGUCGAACGGAAAGGCUCCUGCUUGCAGGGGUACUCGAGUGGCGAACGGGUGAGUAACACGUGGGUGAUCUGCCCUGCACUUCGGGAUAAGCCUGGGAAACUGGGUCUAAUACCGGAUAGGACGAUGGUUUGGAUGCCAUUGUGGAAAGUUUUUCGGUGUGGGAUGAGCUCGCGGCCUAUCAGCUUGUUGGUGGGGUAAUGGCCUACCAAGGCGUCGACGGGUAGCCGGCCUGAGAGGGUGUACGACCACAUUGGGACUGAGAUACGGCCCAGACUCCUACGGGAGGCAGCAGUGGGGAAUAUUGCACAAUGGGCGCAAGCCUGAUGCAGCGACGCCGCGUGGGGGAUGACGGCCUUCGGGUUGUAAACUCCUUUCGCUAGGGACGAAGCGUUUUGUGACGGUACCUGGAGAAGAAGCACCGGCUAACUACGUG
rnacentral:rRNA from 1 species